GCAGGACACAUGAACAUCGACAUUUCGAACGCACAUUGCGGCCCUAGGACUUGUUCCUGGGCCACACCUGACUGAGGGUCGGUUGACCAAACUCAACGACCAGACUGUC
rnacentral:rRNA from 1 species